ACAUGCGGCUUGUUGUGGUGAAGGGGAUACAGUGAUCAUGGCUGCACUCGCCAUGCCGCCCACCACCUUCAUUCACUUCUUCGUUCUUGCACGUCCGCAUCACCGCAGCUGCUCUAUGGGAUAGGUAACCGGCGAGGAGGAGGGCGUCGGGUACAGUGCCGUUGUAUUUCGCAAUCCCUCUCACAUACACCCACCUCCAACAUCAACACUUCCACACCCACACACCGACAUACAUACGAGUGAGUUCAGCAGCCACAACAGUUUUCGCUUCGGUGCCGUCCCUUUCGUUUUCUUUUUUUUUUUUUCGAAUUAGGGGGAGGGAGAAGAGGGGCCCUGAACGUUGGAUUUCCAGUAGCGAUAUCCGCGGGCCCGCUGCACAACGUCCCUUUCCUCCACUUCCAUCCACAAAUGCAGAUAUAGUUGCCUCGCAAACGCGACUACAGUC
rnacentral:misc_RNA from 1 species